rnacentral:rRNA from 1 species
GAUGAACGCUGGCGGCGUGCCUAAUACAUGCAAGUCGAGCGAACCACUUCGGUGGUGAGCGGCGAACGGGUGAAUAACACGUAGGUGAUCUGCCCAUCAGACGGGGACAACGAUUGGAAACGAUCGCUAAUACCGGAUAGGACGAAAGUUUAAAGGUGCUUCUGGCACCGCUGAUGGAUGAGCCUGCGGCGCAUUAGCUAGUUGGUAGGGUAAAGGCCUACCAAGGCGACGAUGCGUAGCCGACCUGAGAGGGUGAACGGCCGCACUGGGACUGAGACACGGCCCAGACUCCUACGGGAGGCAGCAGUAGGGAAUCUUCGGCAAUGGGCGAAAGCCUGACCGAGCAACGCCGCGUGAAUGAUGAAGGCCUUCGGGUUGUAAAAUUCUGUUAUAAGGGAAGAACGACUUUAGUAGGAAAUGGCUAGAGUGUGACGGUACCUUAUGAGAAAGCCACGGCUAACUACGUGCCAGCCGCCGCGGUAA